GCACAAUAUUGAGGGUUUCCAUGUG
rnacentral:piRNA from 1 species